rnacentral:rRNA from 1 species
GAUGAACGCUGGCGGCGUGCCUAAUACAUGCAAGUCGAGCGAACGGACGAGAAGCUUGCUUCUCUGAUGUUAGCGGCGGACGGGUGAGUAACACGUGGAUAACCUACCUAUAAGACUGGGAUAACUUCGGGAAACCGGAGCUAAUACCGGAUAAUAUUUUGAACCGCAUGGUUCAACAGUGAAAGGCGGUCUUGCUGUCACUUAUAGAUGGAUCCGCGCUGCAUUAGCUAGUUGGUAAGGUAACGGCUUACCAAGGCAACGAUGCAUAGCCGACCUGAGAGGGUGAUCGGCCACACUGGAACUGAGACACGGUCCAGACUCCUACGGGAGGCAGCAGUAGGGAAUCUUCCGCAAUGGGCGAAAGCCUGACGGAGCAACGCCGCGUGAGUGAUGAAGGUCUUCGGAUCGUAAAACUCUGUUAUUAGGGAAGAACAUAUGUGUAAGUAACUGUGCACAUCUUGACGGUACCUAAUCAGAAAGCCACGGCUAACUACGUG